rnacentral:rRNA from 1 species
UACGGGGGGGGCAAGCGUUGUUCGGAAUUACUGGGCGUAAAGGGCGCGUAGGCGGCCUGCUAAGUCGGAUGUGAAAUCCCUCGGCUCAACCGAGGAACUGCAUCCGAUACUGGCGGGCUUGAAUCCGGGAGAGGGAUGUGGAAUUCCAGGUGUAGCGGUGAAAUGCGUAGAUAUCUGGAGGAACACCUGAGGCGAAGGCGGGCUACUGGGCCGAUACUGACGCUGAUGCGCGAAAGCCAGGGGAGCGAACGGG